CGGGGGGCAGCAGUGGGGAAUUUUGGACAAUGGGCGCAAGCCUGAUCCAGCCAUGCCGCGUGAGUGAAGAAGGCCUUCGGGUUGUAAAGCUCUUUCGGCCGGGACGAAAUCGCAUGGGUUAACACCGCGUGUGGAUGACGGUACCGGAAUAAGAAGCACCGGCUAACUACGUGCCAGCAGCCGCGGUAAUACGUAGGGUGCGAGCGUUAAUCGGAAUUACUGGGCGUAAAGGGUGCGCAGGCGGUUUUGUAAGCCAGAUGUGAAAUCCCCGGGCUUAACCUGGGAACUGCAUUUGGGACUGCAAGGCUAGAGUACGGCAGAGGGGGGUAGAAUUUCUGGUGUAGCAGUGAAAUGCGUAGAUAUCAGGAGGAAUACCGAUGGCGAAGGCAGCCCCCUGGGUCGAUACUGACGCUCAUGCACGAAAGCGUGGGGAGCAAACAGGAUUAGAUACCCCAGU
rnacentral:rRNA from 1 species